CCAGCAGCCGCGGUAAUACGUAGGUGGCAAGCGUUGUCCGGAAUUAUUGGGCGUAAAGCGCGCGCAGGCGGAUCAGUCAGUCUGUCUUAAAAGUUCGGGGCUUAACCCCGUGAUGGGAUGGAAACUGCUGAUCUAGAGUAUCGGAGAGGAAAGUGGAAUUCCUAGUGUAGCGGUGAAAUGCGUAGAUAUUAGGAAGAACACCAGUGGCGAAGGCGACUUUCUGGACGAAAACUGACGCUGAGGCGCGAAAGCCAGGGGAGCAAACAGGAUUAGAUACCCUGGUAGUCCACGCCGUAAACGAUGAGUGCUAGGUGUUAGGCCCUUUCCGGGGCUUAGUGCCGCAGCUAACGCAUUAAGCACUCCGCCUGGGGAGUACGACCGCAAGGUUGAAACUCAAAGGAAUUGACGGGGGCCCGCACAAGCGGAGGAACAUGUGGUUUAAUUCGAUGAUACGCGAGGAACCUUACCCGGGCUUGAAUUGCC
rnacentral:rRNA from 1 species